rnacentral:rRNA from 1 species
CACGCCGUAAACGAUGAAUACUAGGUGUGGGGGGACUGACCCCCUCCGUGCCGCAGUUAACACAAUAAGUAUUCCACCUGGGGAGUACGGCCGCAAGGUUGAAACUCAAAGGAAUUGACGGGGGCCCGCACAAGCAGUGGAUUAUGUGGUUUAAUUCGAAGCAACGCGAAGAACCUUACCAGGGUUUGACAUCCUACUAACGAAGCAGAAAUGCAUUAGGUGCCCUUCGGGGAAAGUAGAGACAGGUGG